rnacentral:rRNA from 1 species
CGUGCAGAAGCGGGGAUAAAACCAUAAGACGAGAAGACCCUAUGGAGCUUUAGACACACAGGUGGACCAUGUCAAAUACCCCCAGCUAAGGGCCUGAACUAAAUGGAACCUGCCUUGAUGUCUUCGGUUGGGGCGACCAUGGGGAAUACAAAACCCCCACGUGGAAAGGGAGCACACCCCUAAGUUACUUCUUCUCCCGCAAGCCAGAGCAACAGCUCUAACCAGCAGAAAUUCUGACCAAACUGAUCCGGUAAACCGAUCAACGAACCAAGUUAC